UACGUAGGGCGCAAGCGUUGUCCGGAAUUAUUGGGCGUAAAGAGCUCGUAGGCGGCUUGUCACGUCGGGUGUGAAAGACCGGGGCUUAACUCCGGUUCUGCAUUCGAUACGGGCUAGCUAGAGUGUGGUAGGGGAGAUCGGAAUUCCUGGUGUAGCGGUGAAAUGCGCAGAUAUCAGGAGGAACACCAAUGGCGAAGGCAGAUCUCUGGGCCGUAACUGACGCUGAGGAGCGAAAGCAUGGGGAGCGAACAGG
rnacentral:rRNA from 1 species